AGUAACGGCGAGUGAAGCGGUAACAGCUCAAAUUUGAAAUCUGGCUCCCUGCGGAGUCCGAGUUGUAAUUUGUAGAAGAUGCUUUGGGUGCACGAUCCGGCCUAAGUGCCUUGGAACAGGACGUCAUAGAGGGUGAGAAUCCCGUAUGCGGCCGGUAUCGACGCCCAUGUAAAGCUCUUUCGACGAGUCGAGUUGUUUGGGAAUGCAGCUCAAAAUGGGUGGUAAAUUUCAUCUAAAGCUAAAUAUGGGCCAGAGACCGAUAGCGCACAAGUAGAGUGAUCGAAAGAUGAAAAGCACUUUGGAAAGAGAGUUAAACAGUACGUGAAAUUGUUGAAAGGGAAGCGCUUGCAACCAGACUUGGGCGUCGCUGAUCAUCCAAAGUUCUCUUUGGUGCACUCGACGACGCACAGGCCAGCAUCGGUUGGGGUGGUGGGAGAAAGACUGCAGGAACGUAGCUCUUUUCGGAGAGUGUUAUAGCCUGCGGUGCAAUACCGCCUACCUCGACCGAGGACCGCGCUUCGGCUAGGAUGCUGGCGUAAUGGUUGUAAGCGACCCGUCUUGAAACACGGACCAAGGAGUCUAACAUCUAUGCGAGUGUUUGGGUGCGAAACCCAUGCGCGAAAUGAAAGUGAACGUAGGUGAGAACCCUUUGAGGGGGCAUCAUCGACCGAUCCUGAUGUCUUCGGAUGGAUUUGAGUAAGAGCAUAGCUGUUGGGA
rnacentral:rRNA from 2 species